rnacentral:rRNA from 1 species
UAGGGAAUCUUCGGCAAUGGACGAAAGUCUGACCGAGCAACGCCGCGUGAGUGAAGAAGGUUUUCGGAUCGUAAAACUCUGUUGUUAGAGAAGAACAAGGACGUUAGUAACUGAACGUCCCCUGACGGUAUCUAACCAGAAAGCCACGGCUAACUACUUGCCUGCAGCCGCGGUAAUACGUAGGUGGCAAGCGUUGUCCGGGUUUAUUUGGCGUAAAGCGAGCGCAGGCGGUUUCUUAAGUCUUGUGUGAAAGCCCCCGGCUCAACCGGGGAGGGUCGUUGGGAACUGGGAGGCUUGAGUGCAGAAGAGGAGAGUGGAAUUCCAUGUGUAGCGGUGAAAUGCGUAGAUAUAUGGAGGAACACCAGUGGCGAAGGCGGCUCAUUGGUCUGUAACUAACGCUGAGGCUCGAAAGCGUGGGGAGCGAACAGG